rnacentral:rRNA from 1 species
CAGCCGCCGCGGGAAUACGGAGGGUGCAAGCGUUAAUCGGAAUUACUGGGCGUAAAGCGCACGCAGGCGGUCUGACAAGUCAGAUGUGAAAUCCCCGGGCUUAACCUGGGAACUGCAUUUGAAACUGUCAGGCUGGAGUCUUGUAGAGGGGGGUGGAAUUCCAGGUGUAGCGGUGAAAUGCGUAGAGAUCUGGAGGAAUACCGGUGGCGAAGGCGGCCCCCUGGACAAAGACUGACGCUCAGGUGCGAAAGCGUGGGGAGCAAACAGGAUUAGAUACCCCUGAGUCCCUGUCUCUUAUACC